rnacentral:tRNA from 1 species
GGAGAGGUGGCAGAGUGGUCGAUUGCGGCGGUCUUGAAAACCGUUGAACCGAGAGGUUCCGUGGGUUCAAAUCCUACUCUCUCCG